UGGUUAAAAAGCUCGUAGUUGGAUCUCAACAGCCUUGAAAGCGGUUAACUUCGUAGUUUUACUGCUUUAUAGGCUGUGCUUUUGCUGGAGGUUUAGGGGUGCUCUUGAUCGAGUGUCUCUGGAUGCCAGCAGGUUUACUUUGAAAAAAUUAGAGUGCUCAAAGCAGGCUAAAAUGCCUGAAUAUUCGUGCAUGGAACAAUAGAAUAGGAUGUCGAUCCUAUUUUGUUGGUUUUCGGGACCCGACAUAAUGAUAAAUAGGGACAGUCGGGGGCAUUUGUAUUCAAACGACAGAGGUGAAAUUCUUGGACCGUUUGAAGACAAACUACUGCGAAAGCAUUUGCCAAGAAUGUUUUCAUUAAUCAAGAACGAAAGUUAGAGGUUCGAAGGCGAUUAGAUACCGCCCUAGUUCUAACCAUAAACGAUGCCAGCUAGCGAUCUGCCUGCGUUCUUACUGUAGACUGGGCAGGAAGCUUCCGGGAAACCAAAGCAUUUGGGUUCCAGGGGAAGUAUGGUUGCAAAGCUGAAACUUAAAGGAAUUGACGGAAGGGCACCACCAGGAGUGGAGCCUGUGGCUUAAUUUGACUCAACACGGGAAAUCUCACCAGGCCCGGACACUGGAAGGAUUGACAGAUUGAUAGCUCUUUCUUGAUUCGGUGGGUGGUGGUGCAUGGCCGU
rnacentral:rRNA from 1 species